rnacentral:rRNA from 1 species
GAUGAACGCUGGCGGCGUGCCUAAUACAUGCAAGUCGAGCGAACGGACGAGAAGCUUGCUUUUCUGAUGUUAGCGGCGGACGGGUGAGUAACACGUGGAUAACCUACCUAUAAGACUGGGAUAACUUCGGGAAACCGGAGCUAAUACCGGAUAAUAUUUUGAACCGCAUGGUUCAAAAGUGAAAGACGGUCUUGCUGUCACUUAUAGAUGGAUCCGCGCUGCAUUAGCUAGUUGGUAAGGUAACGGCUUACCAAGGCAACGAUGCAUAGCCGACCUGAGAGGGUGAUCGGCCACACUGGAACUUAGACACGGUCCAGACCCCUACGGGAGGCAGCAGUAGGGAAUCUUCCGCAAUGGGCGAAAGCCUUACGGAGCAACGCCGCGUGAGUGAUGAAGGUCUUCGGAUCGUAAAGCUCUGUUAUUAGGGAAGAACAUAUGUGUAAGUAACUGUGCACAUCUUGACGGUACCUAAUCAGAAAGCCACGGCUAACUACGUG